CAGAAAUUUUUUUUUAUUUACAAUAAAUAUUUAGUUAUUAAUAGUAACUUUUCUGA
rnacentral:tRNA from 1 species